rnacentral:rRNA from 1 species
CCUACGGGAGGCAGCAGUGAGGAAUAUUGGUCAAUGGGCGAGAGCCUGAACCAGCCAAGUCGCGUGAAGGAUGAAGGAUCUAUGGUUUGUAAACUUCUUUUAUAUGGGAAUAAAGUGAGGAACGUGUUCCUUUUUGUAUGUACCAUAUGAAUAAGCAUCGGCUAACUCCGUGCCAGCAGCCGCGGUAAUACGGAGGAUGCGAGCGUUAUCCGGAUUUAUUGGGUUUAAAGGGUGCGUAGGUGGUUAAUUAAGUCAGCGGUGAAAGUUUGGGGCUUAACCAUAAAAUUGCCGUUGAAACUGGUUGACUUGAGUACAGUUGAGGUAGGCGGAAUGCGUGGAGUAGCGGUGAAAUGCAUAGAUAUCACGCAGAACUCCGAUUGCGAAGGCAGCUUACUAAACUAUAACUGACACUGAAGCACGAGAGCGUGGGGAGCAAACAGGAUUAGAUACCCCAGUAGUC